UACGGGGGGGGCAAGCGUUGUUCGGAAUUACUGGGCGGAAAGGGCUCGUAGGUGGCCAACUAAGUCAGACGUGAAAUCCCUCGGCUUAACCGGGGAACUGCGUCUGAUACUGGAUGGCUUGAGUUUGGGAGAGGGACGCGGAAUUCCAGGUGUAGCGGUGAAAUGCGUAGAUAUCUGGAGGAACACCGGUGGCGAAGGCGGCGUCCUGGACCAACACUGACGCUGAGACGCGAAAGCUAGGGGAGCAAACGGG
rnacentral:rRNA from 1 species